GACAGAGGCCUCAAGCGUUAGGCGGAAUCACUGGGCUUAAAGCGUGUGUAGGCGGAUCGUUAAGUGCCUUGUGAAAUCCCACGGCUUAACUGUGGAACGGCUGGGCAUACUGGCGGUCUUGAGCCAUCUAGGGGCGACUGGAACAAACGGUGGAGCGGUGAAAUGCGUAGAUAUCGUUUGGAACGCCAAUGGUGAAAACAGGUCGCUGGGGAUGAGCUGACGCCGAGACACGAAAGCCAGGGGAGCAAACGGG
rnacentral:rRNA from 1 species